rnacentral:rRNA from 1 species
UACGUAGGGGGCUAGCGUUGUCCGGAAUCAUUGGGCGUAAAGAGCGUGUAGGCGGCCCGGUAAGUCCGCUGUAAAAAGUCAAAGGCUCAACCUUUGAAUGUCAGUGGAUACUGCCGGGCUAGAGUCCGGAAGAGGCGAGUGGAACUCCUGGUGUAGCGGUGGAAUGCGCAGAUAUCAGGAAGAACACCAACGGCGAAGGCAGCUCGCUGGGACGGUACUGACGCUGAGACGCGAAAGCGUGGGGAGCGAACAGG